CGCCAAAGUGGGAGCCCAGGCAGAGGAGGCGCCGAGAGCGAGCGAGGGCUCUGAGGACUGCCAGCACGAUGUCACCUCUCAAUAAGACUAAGGUCAGCCUGGCGGAUAAACCUUGGAGUCUCCUGGGCCCAUUCCCAUGGCAACAUGGGCCUAUGAAGAAGCCAGAUGGGACGGAGCUUAUAACAACAACCUUCUAAGGAGAAUACAUCAAACAAUAUUACCUUGAAACAAGCAGGCACCUCUGCAAGAGAGUGAAUUCUGGAUCAAGCAACAGUUUCUUUAUGUCACUGUGGAAGAAAUCCGGACAAAAGUGAGACAAAAGUUUUCAAUCAAACAAUAAAGCAUGGGGGUUGAUCAAUAUACUCUUGAAAUGAAAAAUUCCAGUCAAAUAACAUGUUUAGAAUUUACACAAGACAAGGUACUUUACCAUGACCCUGAAAUUAUAAAAGUUGAAGGGGGCUGAGAGUGUUCUCAAGGCUUGGAGAAGCAGCAGCUUUCAGCCACCACAGGGAGCUGCAGCGCUCUCAUUUCUGGUUUAUAGGCUUACAACAGUUUUUGAAAGUAUUAGCUGCCUAACUACUGGAACAAGAAUGCCAUUGUUGAAAAAAUCAUCAAGAACAGUAAAUACUUUAAAGAAGAUGACAUUCGUAAUUUAUUCUGAAACUAUUCCAAAAAUAAAGUAUCUAAGGAAGAAUGGCUUGUGCUUUUAUAAGUUCGUAUUUCUAAAAUAGUAAAAUACUGAAUAUUCACAAAUCAGAAAGGAAGACAUUCUUUAAAUCUAUAGUUUCCCAUUUAAACAUAAAUGUUAAUCUUUGCAUAGAAAAAACUAAUUAUUUUGAAUUUUCCGUCAAUAAAAUAUCAUGCUUAAUUUGUUAAAUACUAUAAUUAUAUGUAACAGAUUCUAGAUUGCAAAAAUGUGUUACGCUUUCCCCAAGAACUCCUUGUAGACCCAUAUUUUUUCCUUUCUUAUUCCCAGUACAUUCUGUUAAAUGCCCUUGGCUCUAGGGAGCACAUUAAUUUCUUAGCCAGACCUGUGCACACCAGCACCUGACACAGAGAACUCAUUUUAGAAGCGGGAAGCAGACCCAGAAUCACCCUGCGAUUCGUCUCCCGCUGUGAGGCUUCAUGGAGGUUUGUAGUAGAGGCAAGCUGAGCUACAAGGAUGCUCCCACUAUGCAUCUAGUCCUGCCUUGAUGUGAGAUCAGAGCAGCUGGUGCUCAUGAACUUGGUGAAGACAGAUGCUCUGUCACUGUAACUACUGAAUAAGUACUUUUUCUGCAAAACACAGACUCUAACGGGAAGCAAACCUCUAAACAGAAUGGUCUCUUCUUGGGCCACUAAUAUUUUCUAAAACGUAACUUAUUUUAAUUUUGAAUUGCAUUUAAAGUUGAAUUGCAUUUUUCUUUCUCAUAUUCCUAUCUUCUAAUGAAACAUGGA
rnacentral:lncRNA from 1 species